rnacentral:rRNA from 1 species
GGCAAACGGGAGAGUAACACAUUGGCAACUUUCCUUAGGGACGAGGAUAACUGCGAAAGCGGGAAUAAUACUCGAUAUUAGCGGGGGGACACAAGUCAUUCCCACUUAAAGCAGCAAUGCGCCCUAAGAGAGGCCUAUGUCCUAUCAGCUAGUUGGUGAGGUAAUAGCUCACCAAGGCUUCGACAGGUAGCGGGUGUGAGAGCAUGACCCGUCUCACUGGGACUGAGAAACUGCCCAGACUCCUACGGGAGGCUGCAGUCAAGAAUAUUCCUCAAUGGACGAAAGUCUGAAGGAGCGACGCCGCGUGCAUGAAGAAGCCCCUCGGGGUGUAAAGUGCUUUUCUCUGGGAAGAAACAAUGACGGUACCAGAGGAAUAAGGAGCUGCUAACUUCGUGCCAGCAGCAGCGGUAAUACGAAGGCUCCAAGCGUUAUCCGGAUUUAUUGGGCGUAAAGCGUGUGUAGGUGGUUUGUCGCAUCUUCUGUUAAAUCCCGAAGCUCAACUUCGGGGCCGCGGAAGAUAUGGAUAAACUAGAGAUCGGAAGAGGCAAGUAGAAUUGCUGGUGUAGGGGUUAAAUCCGUUAAUAUCAGCAGGAAUACCCAAUGCGAAGGCAGCUUGCUGGGACGAUUCUGACACUGAGACACGAAAGCGUGGGGAGCGAAUGGGAUUAGAUACCCCAGGAGUCCACGCCGUAAACGAUGAAUGCUAAGCAUUGGAAGUAUCGACCCUUUCAGUGCUGUCUACCUAAGUUAAGCAUUCCGCCUGGGGAGUACGGUCGCAAGACUAAAACUCAAAGGAAUAGACGGGGACCCGCACAAG